GGGGAAUAUUGCACAAUGGGGGAAACCCUGAUGCAGCGACGCCGCGUGGAGGAAGAAGGUCUUCGGAUUGUAAACUCCUGUUGUUGGGGAAGAUAAUGACGGUACCCAACAAGGAAGUGACGGCUAACUACGUGCCAGCAGCCGCGGUAAAACGUAGGUCACAAGCGUUGUCCGGAAUUACUGGGUGUAAAGGGAGCGCAGGCGGGAAGACAAGUUGGAAGUGAAAUCUAUGGGCUCAACCCAUAAACUGCUUUCAAAACUGUUUUUCUUGAGUAGUGCAGAGGUAGGCGGAAUUCCCGGUGUAGCGGUGGAAUGCGUAGAUAUCGGGAGGAACACCAGUGGCGAAGGCGGCCUACUGGGCACCAACUGACGCUGAGGCUCGAAAGUGUGGGUAGCAAACAGGAUUAGAUACCCUGGUAGUCCACACCGUAAACGAUGAUUACUAGGUGUUGGAGGAUUGACCCCUUCAGUGCCGCAGUUAACACAAUAAGUAAUCCACCUGGGGAGUACGACCGCAAGGUUGAAACUCAAAGGAAUUGACGGGGGCCCGCACAAGCAGUGGAGUAUGUGGUUUAAUUCGACGCAACGCGAAGAACCCUACCAAGUCUUGACAUCCCUUGACAGACAUAGAAAUAUGUAAUCUCUUCGGAGCAAGGAGACAGGUGGUGCAUGGUUGUCGUCAGCUCGUGUCGUGAGAUGUUGGGUUAAGUCCCGCAACGAGCGCAACCCUUAUGGUCAGUUACUACGCAAGAGGACUCUGGCCAGACUGCCGUUGACAAAACGGAGGAAGGUGGGGAUGACGUCAAAUCAUCAUGCCCUUUAUGACUUGGGCUACACACGUACUACAAUGGCGUUAAACAAAGAGAAGCAAGACCGCGAGGUGGAGCAAAACUCAGAAACAACGUCCCAGUUCGGACUGCAGGCUGCAACUCGCCUGCACGAAGUCGGAAUUGCUAGUAAUCGUGGAUCAGCAUGCCACGGUGAAUACGUUCCCG
rnacentral:rRNA from 1 species